CAGUCGCCGCGGUAAUACAGAGGGUGCAAGCGUUAAUCGGAAUUACUGGGCGUAAAGCGCGCGUAGGUGGUUUGUUAAGUUGGAUGUGAAAGCCCCGGGCUCAACCUGUGAACUGCAUCCAAAACUGGCAAGCUAGAGUACGGUAGAGGGUGGUGGAAUUUCCUGUGUAGCGGUGAAAUGCGUAGAUAUAGGAAGGAACACCAGUGGCGAAGGCGACCACCUGGACUGAUACUGACACUGAGGUGCGAAAGCGUGGGGAGCAAACAGGAUUAGAUACCCCCGUAGUCCCUGUCUUUAUACA
rnacentral:rRNA from 1 species